CGCGCCCGGAGCGCGUCCCCUCCCGCCCGCCGCGCCUGCGCACUGGAGCCCGCCCGCGCCCCGACCGUGGUCCUCGGCGGCGACCGCGCUGCGACAGCCGAGCCCCGGGAGCCGCGAACCUGGGCGCGCACAGCCCGCGCCCCAACUCCGCGUCCUGCGUUCCCGCCCGCCGGAGGAGCCGCGUGACCUCGAGUACCUUCCUUGUCCCCUCCGAGCCUCAGUUUCCCCACCGUGCACAGUGGAACCCACCCUCUUGGCGUCACCUGGGGAGUCGAAAAUACUGAAAUCCUGCGAAAUUCCCUGUUGCGGGGCAGUUAAUCUUGGAAAAUAUGUGCCUUCCCCCACUCAAUAAAACCAGGCCACUAGAUUUGAGAGGGGCCCGCGUCUGACUGCGAACCCAGGGCCCUCGCCCCUACGAGACGGAGAAUCGACGUCCAAGAAUCCCCGGGGUCAGGAGGAAGGUGUGAGGCUGUAGGUGCAGAAAUGGGGCAAGAGAUGAAAGGAAAAGGGGCGCUGCUGUUUGCCUUAACGAUUAGCUGGAUACCCGAGAGAGAGCGAAACGUUUUCUUCUAGCAGGACAAUUGGGAGGGAAGGACGCUGGCCCAUGGGGGUUAAAACCCGCGAGUCGAAUUCCACUGCUUACAUUCAUUCACUAUGAGGGAGACAACUUUGUGCUGGUGCUUCAAGUACAUGAUGUCAUUUGGUGCUCAGACGGCCCCUGGGCUGCCUGCAUCCCCCUUACAGUGAGGAUCUCUCAUGAUCAGCUCCCUCCAGGAGGCCUAGAGAGGAGUAGCCACUGCAAGAACCCCUGCCUCCUCCGUUAUCCCGGCUGCUUCUCGUCCCCUCAAUAUGGAUAGACCAGGAACUGGGAUCCCAUGAAAUAAUGGAGACCAGGAGGCUAGGCCCCCUGCAGAAGGCCCCACUCCCAGAAACCAGGAUUUAAGGGAUCUCGCCCAGGCAUUGGUCUAUUUUAGAAAUGCCCCAGGGAUUCCAUUAACUCUCAGGGAUUCCACGUGUUGUUAUACGGAACAAAGGUUAGAAUUUGAGGCAUUUCCAUUUUAUCUGGAAUUGGUAUCAGGUUGAACCAUACAAAAUUGCCGUUUUUGUAAAAGGGCCAAAGUUGUCACAUGUCAGCUCUUUCAUAUGCUUCAACUUAAUAGUUGCAGAUGAUGACACCUCUAGGCUUUGUCUAGAGUAGGGGCACUUUCCCAUCCCAUGUCCCCAGUAGCUCACACCAAAGGCCCCCAGCAGACACUUGAUGACAGCUGGUCCCUCCUCCUGGAAUAGCAUCCCCAACAGAACAUCCUUUCUGAAACCUUUCUGGCUCCUUCUGGCACAGCUCGUUGCUUUCUCCCCAGUCCCAGUCUUCCGUGAAAAUUCAUACCCACCACUCUGUAGCCUCAUUUUCUGUUCAUUUGCCUUCCUCCCCUCUUUGAGCUGAAGCCCUCAGAGGGCAGCACUGGCUCUGAAAAGAUGGCAUGGCCCAACCUCUGUCACUGACUUGAGAAAGCACCUUCUUCUAUCCACUAGUCCCCUGCUUAUCCCCAAAUAGGAGCAAAGUCUGCAAGAUUUUUCUUUUCAAGUGUUAAGAUUGAAGUGAAGAUUUUCUUGUUAACUGGUGUGGUAUAUUUUUGGAUCCUAACAAUUUAUUAAAGAAAAGCUGAAUAAUAUCCAAAAAGGAUCAAACUACAUGAAAAUGAAAAAGUAUGAUAAAGUUAAUCUGGGUGCAAAGUUUACAAAUAAAUGGCACCUUCUUUUACCUGUUUUGGCUCUCAACUUUGUCCUCACUCAAAAAAUGACAUUCAGACAGGUGCAGUGGCUCAUGCCUGUAAUCUCCGCACUUUGGGAGGCCAAGGCAGGGGGAUCACUUGAGUCCAGGAACAUGAGAGCAGCCUGAGCAACAUAAGGAAGCCUCAUCUCAACAAAAAUUUAAAAAUUAGCUGAAAGUGAUGGUACAUAUCUUUAGUCCCAGCGGCAAAUGAGUUUUAAGGGAGGCUAAAGUGGGAGGAUUACUUGAGCCCAGGAGUUUGAGGCUGCAGUGAACCAUGAUCUUACACUCCAGCCUGGGUGACUUCUCUUUUAAUAAGAGUCUGUCUCUUUAAGAAAAAAAAGAAAAUCAUUGGCAAGAUUGGCAGCAACUGCUUUCAAACGAGGUUAUAAGGAUUCAGAUUAGGCUUUGGACGGAAAGAGGUUCAGUCAUAGGUGCAGUACCCUUUGCUUACUGUCACACAUGCUUGUCCUAAUAUGAAGUCCUAAUAAAGUAUCCAGGGAUACAUGGUGUGGUGUGGUUUACAUGUCAUUCUCAUGUCUGUAGUUCUCAUUGAUGCUCCAUGGCAUCUUGGAAGGCAGAUUUUAUCACCCUCAUUUUGUUGAUGAAGAAGCAGAGACCUAGACAUGCUCUGGAGCUGGCCCCAAGGCA
rnacentral:lncRNA from 1 species